UACCAGACUCCUACGGGAGGCAGCAGUGGGGAAUAUUGGGCAAUGGGCGCAAGCCUGACCCAGCAACGCCGCGUGUGGGAAGACGGUCCUCUGGAUUGUAAACCACUGUCCCCAGGGACGAAGAUGACGGUACCUGGGGAGGAAGCUCCGGCUAACUACGUGCCAGCAGCCGCGGUAAUACGGAGGAUGCGAGCGUUAUCCGGAUUUAUUGGGUUUAAAGGGUGCGUAGGCGGCAUUAUAAGUUAGUGGUAAAAUAUUGGGGCUUCACCUCACUACGCCAUUAAUACUGUAGAGCUAGAGAACAGACGAGGUAGGCGGAAUAAGUUAAGUAGCGGUGAAAUGCAUAGAUAUAACUUAGAACACCGAUAGCGAAGGCAGCUUACCAGACUGAGUCUGACGCUGAUGCACGAGAGCAUGGGUAGCGAACAGGAUUAGAUACCCUAGUA
rnacentral:rRNA from 1 species